AAUCUGACUGUAGAUGGGAACCAUCACAAUGAGGACUUGACUGAACAAAGGAUGCCCCCCGGCAAGGGACAAAACAUUUCCAGUGCCAAUUAGGGUGAUUAACUGAAACAUUAAUGCUGGCUCCCAGUGACAGAACUCUUGCCACACCUUGGACUCUACACAGAUAUAUAUUCUUUCCUUUCCUGACUUAGUUUAUCCAUACCUCACAACCUCUGAGGAUGCCUGCCAUAGAUGUGGGCGAAACGUCAGGAGAGAAUGCUUCUGGAACAUGGCCACACAGCCCGAAAGACAUACAACAACCCCAACGUUGUGAAGUCUGUUUGGAAACUAGGAAAAGUGGGGUUUAUAUAUCUGUGGAAUAAGGUCCAGGGUGGGAGAAAGAACUCUUGUCUGUUUGAGGCAAGUGUAAAUGUUGCAAUUAAACAUCUUGAUUAGCACUGAGUGGCCUUGCAGAUUCAAAACCUUCCUGCUUCUUGCCUGGGAGGAUCCUUUGUUGGGAAUGGGAGGUGUUAGCUGGCCCUGAUUGUUUCCUGUCUUGAAUUCCCGUUUUUGGACGGGGGAGGUGUGUGAUUGGAGAGUACGGGCCUGAACUACUUGCUGAGGCGUGCUAUUUUUGUUUGUGUAAUGGGUUGUUUCCUCAAGCACACACAAAACUAGCAGGAGCGGAAGAGAAGCGCGCGCGAAGGAGGGAAAGAACCUCCCCGUGGUUUUCCAGCGAGGCGGGGCCGUGGGGAGGGGGGGAGCGUGAAGCGCGUGCAACUCUCCUCGGAAGAGCGCGCGCUGGAGAAAAGCGCCGUCAUUGAAAACCGGCGCGUGCCUCUGGUGGUUGCUGUGCCUCAGCCGGCUUCAGCCCGGCCCCGCCCCUCAACGGCUCCUGCUCGCGACGCCUGCCCAGAUGGAGGGAAAAGGCGGGAAGCGGUGGAGGGGGAAGGUAUUAUUGAGACCACUAUUAAUUCCAACUGCAGGUGCCAAUAUCUGCUUCUUACGACCAAAUCAAAGGAACUGUUAAUAAUUCUACAAUGUUACAACCAUUACCAAGUGACUUCUGUGGUAAGUGUCUUUGAAACAUGAAUUCAUAAAUAUUCAUAUCUGCUGAAUUUUUUCCCUUCUUUUUCUUCUUUUUAAAUCCCUAGCUAGGGGAGUUUAAUUACUGCUUCAUCCUCCAUCCUUUUCUCACUGGAGGCAUCCCUCCCGUGUCAUAUAUCAUCAUUGUGAUUAUUAUGUUACUUGCACAGCUGUUGUCUACUCAGGCAAAAAAAACCCUGCUUCAACUCACAUUUUGUGGUCCAUAGUGACCACAUUAUCACCACACACAUCGUUA
rnacentral:lncRNA from 1 species